AUUGAACGCUGGCGGCAGGCCUAACACAUGCAAGUCGAACGAGUGGCGGACGGGUGAGUAAUGUCUGGGAAACUGCCCGAUGGAGGGGGAUAACUACUGGAAACGGUAGCUAAUAACGCAUACCAUCGGAUGUGCCCAGAUGGGAUUAGCUAGUAGGUGGGGUAACGGCUCACCUAGGCGACGGUCCCUAGCUGGUCUGAGAGGAUGACCAGCCAGACUGGAACGUGGACACGGUCCAGACUCCUACGGGAGGCAGCAGUGUGGAAUAUUGCACAAUUGGCGCAAGCCUGAUACAGCCAUGCCGCGGGUAUGAAGAAGGCCUUCGGGUUGUAAAGUACUUUCAGCGAGGAGGCGUUACUCGCAGAAGAAGCACCGGCUAACUCCGUGCCAGCAGCCGCGGUAAUAC
rnacentral:rRNA from 1 species